UACAGAGGGGGCCAGCGUUAUUCGGAAUUAUUGGGCGUAAAGGGCGCGUAGGCGGCUUUGCGUGUCUUUCGUGAAAUCCCUCGGCUCAACUGAGGACGUGCGGAAGAAACUGCAGGGCUGGAGUCCGGGAGAGGAGGGUGGAAUUCCCAGUGUAGCGGUGAAAUGCGCAGAUAUCAGGAGGAACACCGGUGGCGAAGGCGGGUCUCUGGGCCGAUACUGACGCUGAGGAGCGAAAGCGUGGGGAGCGAACAGG
rnacentral:rRNA from 1 species